rnacentral:lncRNA from 1 species
AUGACGUUAUUUGUUAAACUUAAAACACGUGGACUAAUCGUGGUUUUUAUGGUGAUGACGAUAUGUAGAUUUUCAAGUUCUCCUCCUCUACAGAAGAGGUCCAGCAAUUGCCGGUGUUCUCUGUCUUGUGCUGAAUUACCUGAGAUUUCAAAAAACGACCGCAUUGAAGUUCAUGUGCAAGAUCAAUCAAGAGUAAUUUAUAAUAAAGAACAAGAAGUCUCUAGUUUAUUUAAUGAAGGACAUUGUUCUGUGGUCGUGCCAGAAUGUUUACAAGAGGACAAAAAGUUCGAACUUAGAAUAUAUGGUCAGAGGAAACAGCCAAUCUAUGAAAAAAUGGAUUUAAAGCCUGUGUGUAAAACAGAGGAACCACCAGAAAAGAACAACAAGCUGACAGACGGAGAGGAUAAACCUGAUCCCGUCCCGUCAGAGAUCAAAGUCUCCAGUGGAGCUGAGAGGAUCUCCUUCAACACGUUCCUAAACCUGCUGAUCAUGGUCUUUUUUUUUUUCCUUUUUCCUGCCAAAGAAUUGGUGCCUUUUUUUGACAUCGAACGCACUACUCUACACUGGAAUGAAAUUAUUGUUUUAGACCAGACCAAGAGAUGA